AAAUAUCCUUUCCAUUUUAUUCAGCUUUGUUCAAUUGUAUUCUUCCUACUAUAAAAUAAUGCCAUGGAAUCUAACCAAAUCUUAUCUGCUCAAUGAACUAUAGUGUAGCCCACAGCCAUAUGGCAUAGCAUAACAUAAGAGUACGCUAUUCUGUUCUUCUGAAAUAGGCUACAUUUUCUUCAUAUCAUGUUUCUUUAGACCUGUCUAAAAUAUAUAAUGGAUUCAUUGUGAAAGUGUAGGCUGUAUUAGAUGGAUUCAUUGUGACGGUGUAGGCUAUAUUACUUGGAUUCAUUGUGACGGUGUAGGCUAUAUUACAUGGAUUGAUUGUGAAGGUGUAGGCUAUAUUACAUGGAUUGAUUGUGAAGGUGUAGGCUAUAUUACAUGGAUUGAUUGUGAAGGUGUAGGCUAUAUUACAUGGAUUGAUUGUGAAGGUGUAGGCUAUAUUACAUGGAUUGAUUGUGAAGGUGUAGGCUAUAUUACAUGGAUUGAUUGUGAAGGUGUAGGCUAUAUUACAUGGAUUGAUUGUGAAGGUGUAGGCUAUAUUACAUGGAUUGAUUGUGAAGGUGUAGGCUAUAUUACAUGGAUUGAUUGUGAAGGUGUAGGCUAUAUUACAUGGAUUGAUUGUGAAGGUGUAGGCUAUAUUACAUGGAUUGAUUGUGAAGGUGUAGGCUAUAUUACAUGGAUUGAUUGUGAAGGUGUAGGCUAUAUUACAUGGAUUGAUUGUGAUGGUGUAGGCUAUA